CUUGCCUUAUGUUAAAUGUUGCGAGUCGUUGACAAGAACCUUUAAGAUUUAUCAAUGAAAUCCAGUAGCCUUAUGUUAUAUGUUGUGAGUCUUUGACAAGAACCUUUAAGAUUUAUCAAUGAAAUCCACUGGCCUUAUGUUAAAUGUUGUGAGUUUUUUAUUAGAACCUUUAAGAUUGAUCAAUGAAAUUCACUCGCCUUAUGUUAAAUGUUGUGAGUCUCUGACAAGAACCUUUAAGAUUUAUCAAUGAAAUAUGCUCGCCUUAUUUUAAUGUAGUGAGUCUUUGACAAGAACAUUUAAGAUGUAUCAAUGAAAUUUACUCGCCUUAUUUUAAAUGUUGUGAGUCGUUGACAAGAACAUUUAAGAUUUAUCAAUGAAAUUCACUGGCCCUAUGUUAAAUGUCAUAUAGUUUCAACAGCUUUGUUCAGGUGAAGAUUCUUAUAUUAAUUAUACUUUAUUUUUUAUACUGAAUUAUUGUGAGGCAAUUAUAACUUAUCAGUAUCGCUUGUGUGUUUUAAUAUAAAAUUAUGUUACGUGCAUUUGGGAACUUAUGAAUUUGUAUGAUAAUUUGGAUACAAUAAAAUCAAUUAUAAAACUA